UACGUAGGGUCCGAGCGUUGUCCGGAAUUAUUGGGCGUAAAGGGCUCGUAGGCGGUUUGUCGCGUCGGGAGUGAAAACACGGGGCUUAACUUCGUGCUUGCUUUCGAUACGGGCAGACUGGAGGCAUGCAGGGGAGAACGGAAUUCCUGGUGUAGCGGUGAAAUGCGCAGAUAUCAGGAGGAACACCGGUGGCGAAGGCGGUUCUCUGGGCAUGUCCUGACGCUGAGGAGCGAAAGUGUGGGGAGCGAACAGGAUUAGAUACCCCCGUAGUCC
rnacentral:rRNA from 1 species